CGAGCGACAAAUGAAAAAAUAAUCGUGUUCAAUUUAGGGGAAUUAAGAGCGAUCAAUUGAAGUGAAUUGCGGGAUGAGGGCACUGUUCACUCACUCACUCAUGGGAAGAGAUUUGGAGGGAUGGAAGUGGCAUUCCCUGAAAUGCCCUAUUCUGAAAAUAAAUUCCCAGCUGAAGAAGGUGAGGUUCGUCGAAGAUGUGGAGGUCAUCGAUGAAGAGAAGCCGAGGUCGACAACACGAUGAAGAGGCCUCCGUAUUUGGUUACAGCAACGGCGUAUUCUGUAACGCCCCGGCAACUUACAGGGACUGUUGAUUGCC
rnacentral:lncRNA from 1 species